rnacentral:rRNA from 1 species
CAGCAGCCACGGGAAUACGAAGGGUGCAAGCGUUACUCGGAAUUACUGGGCGUAAAGCGUGCGUAGGUGGUGGUUUAAGUCCGUUGUGAAAGCCCUGGGCUCAACCUGGGAAUUGCAGUGGAUACUGGGUCACUAGAGUGUGGUAGAGGAUAGUGGAAUUUCCGGUGUAGCAGUGAAAUGCGUAGAGAUCGGAAGGAACAUCUGUGGCGAAGGCGACUAUCUGGGCCAACACUGACACUGAGGCACGAAAGCGUGGAGAGCAAACAGGAUUAGAUACCCCCGUAGUCCCUGUCUCUUAUAC